UACUAGCGGUCCAAGUCGCAGCCAUUUUUAUUGGGUCUAAAACAUCCGUAGCUUGCUUGAUAAGUUUCUUGUGAAAUUUUUGUAUCUCAAAUACAAAGCGUGCAAGAAAUACUGUCAAGCUAGAGACUGGAAGACGUAAGAAGUAUGUUCAGAGUAGCGGUUAAAUGUGUUAAUCCUGAAUAGACUAACAAGAGCGAAGGCAUCUUACGAGGACAGUUCUGACAGUAAGGGAUGAAAGCUAGGGGCGCAAAUGGGAUUAGACUACCCCGUA
rnacentral:rRNA from 1 species